ensembl:lncRNA
CCCCGCGGUCCGGAGGUCCCGGCGACGAGAGCGAGCGGAGCGCCGGAGGGCUGCCCGCGCCCAGCGGUCUGCGGCCCGGGCGGGAGGACGUGAUGGUGGGCGACGACCCCUACAGUCCCCUACAAGUACACGGACGAUAACCCCUACUACAACUACUACGACACCUACGAGCGGCCGCGCCAGGGCAGCAGGUACCGGCCCGGCUACGGCACCGGCUACUUCCAGUACGGUCUGCCCGACCUCGUCCCGGACCCCUACUACAUCCAGGCGUCCACCUACGUGCAGAGGAUGUCCAUGUACAACCUGCGCUGCGCCGCCGAGGAGAACUGCUUGGCCAGCUCAGCUUAUCGGGCGGAUGUUAGAGACUAUGACAACCGAGUGCUCCUGAGAUUCCCUCAAAGAGUGAAAAACCAAGGAACUUCAGAUUUCCUACCAAGCAGGCCUCGAUAUUCCUGGGAGUGGCACAGCUGUCACCAGUGAGUGAAGUGCCUCAGUAUGGUAUCUCCUAAUGAUCCUUUGUCACUAACAAAUCGUCAGUCAUAAGGUGGCGCCCUGUAACACCGGGGUGCAAUGGGUGGAAGCUGUGGGAAUGCUUUGGCGUUUGAUCCUUUCGUGAUGGUGGUAGUCACACUUUGUAGAGCCACGCGAAAACUAAAUGGGCAUGAAGCUUGGAUAUCUGCAAGCAUAAAACUCUCAGUGCGAAUCUGCUAUAAGUACAAGCCUCAAAUCGCUUCCGACAGUGGCACCUUCUCCUUUAUAUAGCCAUGUUUUGUGUAGGUUACUGGCUAGUCACGUGUAAGUUAAAGCAGCUGCUGAAAACUGCUGAAAAUCUGAAAUGUGCAUUCAGUAGCAUGUUCCCUGUUACAUAUCAUCUACCCAUACUCUGUGACCUGAGCUUCUUGGCUUAGCUUGGUUCAGGUCGAUACGGAAUAGACGAGGUGCUGAGCUGGAUGAUCUCCUUAUCAGUAUCCGUAUCACACCUUGAUCGUCCUUGUCUUUUCACAGAGCAGUUCUGCUCUUGGAUAUCUAAGAUAUCCAAGGGGUUGAAAGCACAGCGAAGCAAAUAAAGCCCAUUUUAGAGGUUUUUGGAGCUGGCAACGCUGCAAACUUGUACUCCUUCAGAGAAUCCACAUGCAGGAUUUUGCAGUCUUGUUCCCAUUUUGGCUCUUUUCUGGCAGAACCGGUUGUAAACUACUAGACAGUCUACCUUGCUUAAAAUGUAAUUCUAAGUUAUGGGUACACCUGUGUGUUAGCUCAAUAUCAUACCAUUAGAAAUAAUAUGUCAAGUGGGCUUGACCCGAAAUCCACUGGGAUCAAUGGGGUAUUCCUCUCAGGUUACAGGGGGAUUGACCUCAACUGUCUGUAGUCAGACUUGGAUGAGAGAAACAGCUGUAUUAAAACCAAUUCUCUCAAAGAAAGGCUGAUACUACCGGGUCAUAAAUCUUAUUUAAAAAAAUCUUUUAAAAGGCUAAAACCAAACGAAGAAAACAAAACGAGCUUCCAUGAAUGCUGUACUUAACCCCCAACUGUGGGGGGGGGAAAAAAAAACCCAAACCCAAAUCCCCAACGUAGUUGAUAUCACGUUGGUGAUAACGUAGUUGAUGAAUGGACGAAAUGGAUGGAGAUAACUUGAAGUCUUCCACUGGUAGAAAAGCGGUUUCUUACUGUGCCGCUGUAGCCCAGAUAUCAUUAUCCAGAUGCAGAAUGUCUCUGAUAUUAAUUCCAAGAAACAGAAGAUAAGCGCUGCCAAGAAGAACAAGCAAAAAGGCAUUUCUCAUGAUCAUCUUCUUGACAGUGAAAGAAGUCCAUUUGGGAAUGAUCUGUCACUACCAGUGACUUUGGCCAGCUAUCAGCGUUAGUCAUCAUCCGUGGGCUGGUUUUAGUGCUCUUGAUGUGCACGCACCAGACCCUGUGGGCUUCUUUUCGUUUUAACAACGUGUUUGAAACCUUUUUAAUGAUCUUUUUUUUGUGUGUGUGUACCCGAUGAUCUGGAGGUGUUUGUAAGGAGCCAACCUUACAGCCAAGCGGUGCAGGGACGAAGCUUGGAUAGGUAGUGCGUUGUUUGGGUGUCUGCCUUAAGAAAAAGGUACCUCUAUAGCAGUGGGUGUUGGAGUCAGCAGUGGAAGCUAGAGCUCGCUGUGGGUGAGAGCAAGAGAAAUGCAUCAGUGUGCCUGGAUUGGAAGCACACGUAUGGUUUUAAAACAGAGAACGCAUCAAGUAUAGACCACAAAGAUGCUGACAUCCCAGCUCUGUUUCUGUUGGUAACUGAGAUAGUGAGGUCAGUACACAAGUGGUAGUCCCUCUAGGCAGGCUUCUUUUGUUCCUUCAGUGAUCUUAUGAAUGGGAGGAGUGUGGAAGUAGGAAAGCAAAUUCCUGCUUUCUUGAAUUCUGUAACAAGCAGGAAACCUCCCUGGAAUGUAUAGUAUGUAAGGUAAGCAUUCCCAGCCAGACUCUGCCUAAAGGCACAGUUAUGAGAUUUACGAUUCAAGCGUGAGCCGUUUAAUACUUGCUGUUGUUAUUCUGAUCAUGACAAUGUAUUGCUGAUAAAACUGGAAUUUUUGGAAGAGCAGUGCUGUUAGGACGUUUUUUCACUUAGCAAGUUAAAGCCUGGAUGUGGCAUUCUUAUAGUCACUAAAAGCUGGAAUAACAAACAAUAUUUAACUGAGCAGCUUGUGGUAGGAAGGCAUACUAACACGUGAGUUCUCUGUAAUGAGAAAGAAGUUACCCAGACUUGACAGAAGAUAACGGAACAGCAAUAUGUUAAAACAACGUUGACUAAAUCUGACCCAUCUUUAAUAACCUACCCGUGGUCCAACAGGCAUUACCACAGCAUGGAUGAGUUCAGCCACUAUGACUUGUUAGACGCCAGCUCGCACAGAAAAGUUGCUGAAGGACACAAAGCAAGUUUCUGCCUUGAAGAUACCUCCUGUGAUUACGGGUAUUACAGACGAUACGCGUGUACAGCGCACACGCAGGUAAGAGCUGGUGCAGAGAUGACCAAGAGUUUUUCCCACCUAAUUUAUCUCUGUUGUUUUUUUUUUCCUCUGCCGCUGCGGGCUGUAUGUGAACACUGGCUUGGAAAUUCUCUACCGCAGGGGGCAUGAUGGCAACUUGGAGUCUUAAGGUCUACCCAGUUGCUGCCAAAUGGGGGUGUCACUCAAGUGAAGGGACACUCAUUACCCAAGUAGUGUUGGUAGACUGUAGGGUAAGGCGCAUGUUAUACAAGUCCAUGACAAACAAACUGUUAAGAGUAAGUGGGCAGACCUGCAGACUGCAGGACUGUGAGGAUGACCAGGAGUGCAGCAUGGCAACCACACUGUUCCACUUGGCAUCAAGUGAUGAGUGGUCCCGGAUGGCAAGAGGAGAUUGUUGAUGCUGGCUGAUUUUCACACUGCAAUAACUGAGGAUAUCCAGAACUUCUGGGCAACAGCUUUAGAACAGAGAGGGGUGCCCUUUUAACGUGGGAAUAGCUUACAAGACUCCUUGGCAUAGGGUGCUGCGGGGACCUAAAGUAUCUGUAUGAGUUAAAAAAAGGAUACAGGGAAAAUAAUGGGGGCUGUUAAACGUGAUAAUCUGUGUCUAAAAUACUGUUAAAUGCCUGGUGGAGGGACUUUGCCUGGAUAAAGGACCUUACAGCUCCCACUCAUUACUUUGUUUUUUCCUCUAUCCUGUGCUGCUGGUGAGUGUCAUAGAGACGACGUUCAGCUUGACUGACCCGUGGUUUAACCCAGUGUGGCCAUGCUGUAAACUCGAAUCCCUCAUUCUGCAGUUUUUAAUUUAGGAGGUAGUUAUGUUAUUACAGAGGAAUGACAGCCAUAACUUGACUGGCUGACAAGCACGCAUCUGAAUUUUAAAUAUAAUGAAUGAUCUAUGCUACACGCAGGCUUUGAAGAGGGUUUUUUUUUAAGCAUAUUUUCCCCUUUUGUAGGCUAUGACAUCUAGCUAGGCAAUGUGCAUAUUUUACAGCUGGAGUAUUUGUGUCACUAGAAUAAUGCCCGUGUCAGCAUUUCCACUGGAAGCCUAUAUUUCAGAGAUUUGCAGUUGGACUGUAAAAUUUUCCUCCAGCCUCAGACUUGGCACGUAGAUGAGAGAGUCUGAGCUGAUCACCAGCUGCGUCAAGAGGGAAUUCUUGCAAGGCUUGUAUUUUGCGUAGUCUGUGUGUUACCGGGAUGUAUCAGUGAUUCCCUAAGGCAAUCGGUAUCAGCCACGCCAAGUUUGAAUCACUGAUAAGCUCAUGUGUGGAGAUUGCUAUUAGGGUUCCUCGAAAGCAGUUUUCAGAAAAGACGUGUCAGGAGGAAAGAUGCAUUUUCAGUUCUAUGAGAACUCUUGCAUCUCUGUGUUGGCCUGAAGGAAGGUCCCUCCAGGCCACUUCCCUACAAAGGGAAGUGGCCCUAAUGCGGUUUCCAA